AUCUCUUGACUUUCACGCAUUGUGCGCUCUGUAUGCUGUUACUGAUGUUGCACUUGUUACUUCUCUUAGAGAUGGAAUGAAUCUUGUGAGUUAUGAGUUUGUUGCUUGCCAAGCAUCCAAGAAAGGAGUCCUCAUUCUGAGUGAGUGAACUUAAUGAUACUAUUGUGGAAGCUCAACUGAGGACUAGGCAAGUUUCACCUCUACUUCCUAUGAAAGAAGCCGUUGAUCACUAUUUGGAAUCCAAUAAUAGAUUGCUUAUACUGAUGGAAUAACAAAUAUACUGGUAGAAAUGAAUGUUAUAGCACCACAUGCUUUUGUUUCAUAAGUUUGGUUUACCCACAUCGUGAAAAUAUUGUGGGUAAUCAACCAACUUAUGAAGAGUUAGU